GCCGAUUUCCUAUAAUCACGCUCUCGUAAUGCGUAGGUCGGUGGUUCGAGUCCACUCACCGGCACCA
rnacentral:tRNA from 1 species